GGUUUGCAAGAAAAUCAAAAGAACAAUGAGGGCAGCACAUUGUGCUGCAUACGGUUGUACACAAUGCUGUACAAUCACAACAAGGGAACUGGCUCAAAAACAAACAACUUCUUUUUAAUGUAAAAGAUAUCAUAUGGUGGAAAAGCGAAGAAAUAAACCCAAAACACUAUCGUUUACUGAAGACUUGCGAAGGCAAAAAUGGGUGGCUUGCUCAUAGUAGGGAUGGGCAAGUACGACCAGCCUUAUUUCAAGGUGUGGAGUUGAAGGCUGCUGAUAACAGCCACCAGCACUUAAAGCAAAACAAAUCUGACAUCAGCUGCCCUAUUUAAUAUGGCCCUGGACUCCACCACCGCCAGAUUAUCUACUAUCUCCUUUGAGUUUGUAAUCUCACGAUUGUCUACCCUUUAGCCCCCUUAAAACUUUUGACAAUUGUUCUGAUCCGCUCUUGCUCUUUGUCACAGCCUGCCACCUGCCUCUGUUCCCUGCCAACCUGCAUUUGUUUCCUCCCACUUACUGACCAUCGGACUCGUCCGUUGCAAGCCUGCUCAUCUCCAGAACCUGCCAACCCGGACACAGCCCAUGAAACCUCCUCGCCCGCCUGCAGCUAUCUGCCUCCGACCAAGUGAUAGCCCAAUAAACAUUCGUUCUUUAACUGUCCAUUCCCUCGCCUCUGCUUUUGGGUCCAACUCAUUAUCAGAGUCCUGACAGAAGCCAAAUUUUGUGAAAAAGACAAUUUGUUCCUUUGUGUGCUUCUAUUGGUGGAAAACAAGAAGGCUAAUCUAACUUGUCCUGUAUUGCAAUCCAGGGUUUUCCUUCCCCAUAGUAUUUUAAAUACUUUUUGUAAGGCAAGGAUGGCUGCAGACUCACAA